CGUNAGGAACCUGCCUUUCAGAGGGGGACAACAGCUGGAAACGGCUGCUAAUACCGCAUAACACAUAGGUGUCGCAUGGCAUUUAUGUCAAAGAUUUAUCGCUGAGAGAUGGCCUCGCGUCUGAUUAGCUAGUUGGUAGGGUAACGGCCUACCAAGGCGACGAUCAGUAGCCGGACUGAGAGGUUGGCCGGCCACAUUGGGACUGAGAUACGGCCCAGACUCCUACGGAAGGCAGCAG
rnacentral:rRNA from 1 species